AGCAGCACCGGGUCGAGGUUGCGGGUGACCGUCAGGUAGUCGCGCAGGACGAUCGCGUGGCGCCCCUC
rnacentral:sRNA from 1 species